GACGUAGGGGCCAAGCGUUGUCCGGAUUUAUUGGGCGUAAAGAGCUCGUAGGCGGUUCGGCAAGUCAGCUGUGAAAUCUCCACGCUCAACGUGGAGGGGUCAGCUGAUACUGCUGUGACUCGAGUCCGGUAGGGGAGUGUGGAAUUCCCGGUGUAGCGGUGAAAUGCGCAGAUAUCGGGAGGAACACCAGUAGCGAAGGCGGCACUCUGGGCCGGUACUGACGCUGAGGAGCGAAAGCGUGGGGAGCGAACAGG
rnacentral:rRNA from 1 species